rnacentral:rRNA from 1 species
GACGAACCGUGCGAACGUUGUUCGGAAUUACUGGGCGUAAAGGGCGCGUAGGCGGUUCGUUAAGUCCUGUGUGAAAUCCCCCGGCUCAACUGGGGAACUGCACAGGAAACUAGCGGGCUUGAGUUCGGGAGAGGGAAGCGGAAUUCCGGGUGUAGCGGUGAAAUGCGUAGAUAUCCGGAGGAACACCGGUGGCGAAGGCGGCUUCCUGGACCGACACUGACGCUGAGGCGCGAAAGCUAGGGGAGCAAACGGG